UCUCCUGCCUCUCAAAACUAAAGCAAAAGUUUUCGAUAUGCUUGGGGUAAUAAAAGUCAUAGGUAAGAACCACAAUUACAGGACCAUCCCUGCAGAGGUUAUACCGAAGAGCCAAAACAGAUCAGGGCAAACUACUUUCUAGAAAGCACACCUGUCCCAGUCUCUGGCUGUUUCACCCCACAACCUGACUUCCCACCACGCAGCCGGGUAAGAAGGCAGCCCCAUGAAACCAGGCUGUAAACAACCUCCUUUCUCCCCAGUUUUCUGUCUCUUCC